AUGGGGAAUGCAUCACCCAGUUCUUUGGGCAACGCAGGUCCUUCUGUUCGGAGCACCGUCCUCGCCAGGAAGCUCAGGAAGCUCCACCUGAAGGCACCAACUGCUCAUGUGCUGGAGCCUGUGGGGGACACUGUGUCCUACCACACCAUGGUGUGUCCAGCGUGCAGACACACCUGGUUCCACCGGGGCUGCAUCCAGGUAGGAGCCCUCCCCUCACCCUGCAGGCACACUUGGUGCUCAGCAGCACCAGGCACUGCUCACACUCACACUGCUUCUGCUUCUUCUGCAGCAACUGGCCAGGAGUGCUGGUGCUUUCUGUUUCCAGUGCCCCAGCUGUCGGAAUUUCGAAGAUUUCUUUGUAGAAAUGGCCCUGCUGGGGAUCCGCAUCCCAAACAGGUUGGUGCCCUUCUGCCCACUUAUUCUGACAUAAAGGCUGUUGCGCUGGGCCUGCCCAGGGGCUGUCUUGGCAGGCCUGGGCCUUGGCUGGAUCAUGAGCGUGUCUCCCACCUUCAUGGAGAGGCUGGGAACGGAGUUGGGGCGAACGACAUGGGGAAGACCUUGGAUCUUAUGCUGGAGACACUGGGGCCUCAUCACUUCCCCUCCCUUCUCUUGUAGAUUGCCAGAAUGGGAGCAGAAUGAUGCAUACGCAUCACUUCUGGAGAGGCACAGCCGCUGCGAUGCCAGCGAGUGCCUUUUACCCUGGAGGCAGAGAGCAGGCAGAGAGAACAGGGUGAGUUACCGCAGCAGCUCUCUGGGGCUCUGCGGGGGUUCUCAGCCUGACCACAGGCUGGGGUAGCAAGGACUGAGCACCAGAGAUGUGCUGUGCUGGGCACUCCCUGCCUUAGCUCACUUGCUACUCACAGCCACAACCCCUUUGCUUCCCCAGAUCCUGGCAGCUGAUCCUGUGCAGCUCCUGUGCUGCUGAGGGGACCCACCGUCGUUGCUCGCACUUGAGUAACACAGCAGCCAGGUGGGAGUGCAACAUCUGUGCUGGCCUGGGAACUGGUAAGUGGCAAUCUGGCAGUAAAAGCUCAGGGCAGCUUUGCUGGAGUCUGUCUGCCCCAAGAGGUCUGGCAGAUCUCACUGCAGAGCUGCCGCUUCAUCCUCAUAACCUUCCUGCCUCCUCUUACAGUCUCCAGUUCUGACACUGAGAGCGACAGUCCCAGCGCUGCCGCUCAGAGGGCUCAGGGGCCAUUCAUCAUCUUCGUAGAGCCUGAGAAUAUCAGCUCGAUGCCUUCCAGCCAGGUAGCACCGGGGACGUCACAGACCUCCCAGCUGCCUGAGCACAGCAACCUGCCUGAGACCGAGCAGGAGACAAGCAGCCCACGUCCAUCUGAGGAUGGGGCUACCUCGGAGCAGCUGCGAGGACGUCGUGGGCGCAGACCAAGAGCAGCCCAGAGGUCUCAAAGUGGUUCCCGAAGAUCCACAAGGCAGAGGGCAUCCAGAACCUGCAGGGCGUCUCCAUCACCUACACGCAGAAGACGUCCCAGGCAGCGAGGAAGAAGUGGCACACGAAGCCGCUCCCCGCUGCAAAGUCGGGCCUCGCAAUCCCGGAGCCAGCCAAGAAGACGCCAUGGCAGCAGGCGAACGCCAGCCUCAGGGGAGCGGAGCAGCACCCGCAGAUCAACAAGAUCUGCAAGAUCAAGAUCCACCAGUUCUUCCAGAGCGCCUGGACGCAGGGGACGGUCCAGGCGUUGAGGGUGAGCCCGCACCCAAAGUUCUCCUCAUCAGAGACAUCGGGCCCACAGUUCCCACAGCUCACAACAAAGAAGCAGCAGGAGCUGGGCCCAACAGUUGAGGCCUUCCUGUGAAUGAAGCUGCUCCCAGGAAAAGCAUCAAAGUCCCCACAGACAGCCACCGAGUCUGCGUAGGAGCAGCCGACUGCUUUUCGUACAAUGGCCUGGGUCAAAAAGGACUACCAUGUUCAUCUGGAUCAACCCCCCUGCUGUGUGCAGGGUCAACAACCACAACACCACACUGCCCUGAGAUACAUCCAGCCCGGAUUUCCAUGCCUCCAGGGCUGGUGCAUCUGCAACAUCAUUGGGCAAGCUGUUUCAGAAUGUGUCACUACCCUUUCUGAGAAAAUAUUCCCCCUGAUAUCCAGCCCCAAACUCCUUGUUCUUAGUUUAAAAACAUCCCUCCUUGUCCUAAUGCUAUUCACCCUCGCAUACUGUUAUACCCUUAUAAUGUUCCCCCUCCUUACUCUGGUCCCAAAAUUCCAUCACAAUAAAGAUCAGAGUUCCCACCCA
rnacentral:lncRNA from 1 species